rnacentral:misc_RNA from 1 species
AUUGUUAAGCACUAGACUAGCUCAGCUCGGAAAAGUGGUUUUUACACAUUGAUCAUAAACAAAAGGUUACCUUGAACUACGAGUAGUAACUACUAAUAACAAGUAGAAUCUACUCAAAAUAGAGAAAGAUGCCGAUCACGGUUCCACAGCCAUCUCUGCCUUGGACAGCAAAGAUUAAGAGUAUCAAGUGCCUCCUUUGAGAACAUGAAAUUACAAGUAUCCUUGAAGUUUUCACUUUUCUUCUCCUUCAAUAUCAUAACACAAUCGGACCAAUCCAAUUGCAAUAGAACAUCAUAAGACUAGAAAACCAGGUUUAGCAGAGAUAGCAGGACAUUCAAAUAAAUUAAAAUUCGUCAUCUUUAAAGUUAACAGCAAGAUCCCAAUAAUGGGGAACCCCAGCAUCAGCAAAAACUUUACGAGCAGCAGCCUCUGUCCUGCAGUCAUAAACAAAAAACCUAUGGAAGCUUGAUUUAGCAACACUCCCUUGCCAGACCAACACACACUUGUUGAGAGGCUUA